AGAAUCAACGCUGGCGGCGUGCCUCAGACAUGCAAGUCGAACGCGAAAGCCCCCUUCGGGGGGCAAGUAGAGUGGCGCACGGGUGAGUAACACGUAGGUAAUCUACCUUCGGAUGGGGAAUAACAACCGGAAACGGUUGCUAAUACCGCAUAAUGCAGCGGCACCUAAUGGUGACAGUUGUUAAAGCGGGGGAUCGAAAGACCUCGCGUCUGAAGAGGAGCCUGCGGCGGAUUAGCUAGUUGGUAAGGUAAUGGCUUACCAAGGCGACGAUCC
rnacentral:rRNA from 1 species